AUCGCGUCGCCCCCCAUCAUACUUCCCUUAAGGGUAGUCGUGGUGAUUGGGAGCGGAGAUUGGCUUCCCGUGCUUGUUGUGCGGUUGGUCAAAAUAGGAGUCCCCUUCGGUGGACACACGGCUAGUGGUGGUUGUAAAGACCCUUUUCUUCUGCUGUGUGUUGUGAGCUGCUAGGGAAACCCUCAAAAAAGAACCCAAUGUAUCGUUCUAGGACGAUGCUUCGA
rnacentral:misc_RNA from 1 species